CAGUAGCCGCGGUAAUACGAAGGGUGCAAGCGUUAAUCGGAAUUACUGGGCGUAAAGCGUGCGUAGGCGGUUUGUUAAGUCUGCUGUGAAAUCCCCGGGCUCAACCUGGGAAUGGCAGUGGAUACUGGCAAGCUAGAGUGUGUCAGAGGAUGGUGGAAUUCCCGGUGUAGCAGUGAAAUGCGUAGAGAUCGGGAGGAACAUCAGUGGCGAAGGCGGCCAUCUGGGACAACACUGACGCUGAGGCACGAAAGCGUGGGGAGCAAACAGGAUUAGAUACCCGCGUAGUCCCUGUCUCUUAUAC
rnacentral:rRNA from 1 species